rnacentral:rRNA from 1 species
ACACAUGCAAGUCGAGGGGAAACGACAUCGAAAGCUUGCUUUUGAUGGGCGUCGACCGGCGCACGGGUGAGUAACGCGUAUCCAACCUGCCCACCACUUGGGGAUAACCUUGCGAAAGUAAGACUAAUACCCAAUGAUAUCUCUAGAAGACAUCUGAAAGAGAUUAAAGAUUUAUCGGUGAUGGAUGGGGAUGCGUCUGAUUAGCUUGUUGGCGGGGUAACGGCCCACCAAGGCGACGAUCAGUAGGGGUUCUGAGAGGAAGGUCCCCCACAUUGGAACUGAGACACGGUCCAAACUCCUACGGGAGGCAGCAGUGAGGAAUAUUGGUCAAUGGACGAGAGUCUGAACCAGCCAAGUAGCGUGCAGGAAGACGGCCCUAUGGGUUGUAAACUGCUUUUAUAAGGGAAUAAAGUGAGUCUCGUGAGACUUUUUGCAUGUACCUUAUGAAUAAGGACCGGCUAAUUCCGUGCCAGCAGCCGCGGUAAUACGGAAGGUCCGGGCGUUAUCCGGAUUUAUUGGGUUUAAAGGGAGCGUAGGCCGGAGAUUAAGCGUGUUGUGAAAUGUAGACGCUCAACGUCUGCACUGCAGCGCGAACUGGUUUCCUUGAGUACGCACAAAGUGGGCGGAAUUCGUGGUGUAGCGGUGAAAUGCUUAGAUAUCACGAAGAACUCCGAUUGCGAAGGCAGCUCACUGGAGCGCAACUGACGCUGAAGCUCGAAAGUGCGGGUAUCGAACAGGAUUAGAUACCCUGGUAGUCCGCACGGUAAACGAUGGAUGCCCGCUGUUGGUCUGAAUAGGUCAGCGGCCAAGCGAAAGCAUUAAGCAUCCCACCUGGGGAGUACGCCGGCAACGGUGAAACUCAAAGGAAUUGACGGGGGCCCGCACAAGCGGAGGAACAUGUGGUU